rnacentral:rRNA from 1 species
GACGAACGCUGGCGGCGUGCUUAACACAUGCCAGUCGAACGGAAAGGCCUGCUUUCCCUUGUGUAUUGCGGGUACUCGAGUGGCGAACGGGCGAGUAACACGUGAGUGAUCUGCCCCCAACUUGGGUAUAAGCCUGGGAAACUGGGUCUAAUUCCCGAUAGGACUGCAGGGUGGUGCCUGUGGUGGCAAACGAUUUUCUAGUGGUUGGGGAUGAGCUCGCGGCCUAUCAGCUUGUUGGUGGGGUAAUGGGCUACCAAGGCGGCGACGGGUAGCCGGCCAGGGAGGGUGGGCGGGAACAUUGGGACUGAGAUACGGCCCAGGCGCCUACGGGAGGCAGCAGUUGGGAGGAUUGGGCAAUGGGCGGAAGCCUGAGGCAGCGACGCCGAGUGGGGGAUGACGGGCUUCGGGUUGUAAACUCCUGUUGACCGCGAGGAAGCCACCUGGAUGGAAGGGUAGUGACGGUAGUGGUAGAAGAAGCACCGGCUAACUACGUG